rnacentral:rRNA from 1 species
AUUGAACGCUGGCGGCAUGCUUUACACAUGCAAGUCGAACGGUAACAGGCCUUCGGGUGCUGACGAGUGGCGAACGGGUGAGUAAUGCAUCGGAACGUACCCAGAGGUGGGGGAUAACGCAGCGAAAGCUGUACUAAUACCGCAUGUGAUCUGAGGAUGAAAGCGGGGGACCGAGCAGCAAUGUUUGGCCUCGCGCCUUUGGAGCGGCCGAUGUCGGAUUAGCUAGUUGGUGGGGUAAAGGCCUACCAAGGCGACGAUCCGUAGCUGGUCUGAGAGGACGACCAGCCACACUGGGACUGAGACACGGCCCAGACUCCUACGGGAGGCAGCAGUGGGGAAUUUUGGACAAUGGGCGCAAGCCUGAUCCAGCAAUGCCGCGUGCGGGAAGAAGGCCUUCGGGUUGUAAACCGCUUUUGGCAGGAACGAAACGGUGUCCGCUAAUACCGGGCGCUAAUGACGGUACCUGCAGAAUAAGCACCGGCUAACUACGUG